rnacentral:lncRNA from 1 species
GGCAACAAGAUCAAUCAUAAUUCAUAUAGAUCUAUAUGUAUACUGCUAAUUAAUUAAUUAAUAAGUAUCAAAAAUAAACGGACACCUCUUUCGUUGUAAGCCUCUUUCUCCGACUGAGAGAGGUCGGAAUAGAGAACGGUAAGGUGGUCUCCUCAUGCGUGAAGAACGCCCUGGUCCCAUGCCCCGAGUCUUUCCCAUGACCAACUCUGCCUCCUAAAUUCUGAGCAAGUCGGAAUCCCUAGCUACAUUCAUAUAUAGACACAAAACGUUGGGCCUAUUCCCAGGUUUAUAUUCUUUAAUUCCAAGUCUAGCCCAUACGUUUGGGCCUAUAAUUUGUUUUAAUACGCAGCUAUUUUUGAGCGGGUGAUUAAACCUUAAGCAUCUCUUUGCUUCAUUUAAUACUAUAACUAGGUGACCAACUACGGACAUAAAAAUAUUCAAAAUGUAAAAUAAAUAGUAUACAGUUGUUGAAGUUACAGAUUUUAUAUUAUCACUAAGUAGAAUUGUAUUGUAUAUAUAUGUUGUAACUGUGUAUUUUUAGUGACGAAUAUAUUUAUGAAAAUAAUUUCAUAGAUUUAUAAAUUUCUAAAUUUUAUUGAAUAGAAAAUAAUAUUAAAUUAACAUACCAUCAUCGAAAUAGUGUAAAAACUGGAUUGUAGUCAACUAAAAUGGAGAGUUUAGUUUAUAUACCAGAAUACUAUCAAUGAUCUCUCUUAUGGUUCUCUUCUCAUUAAGAACAAAAAACUUGGCACGACAGAUGUAGCAGUACCAACAGACCAUUGAGUACUAUAGUUGUUUGUAAGAGUGAGCACCUACAAUAUAUAGAUUUUAUUAACAUGUUGUACAUAUAAUUAUUUUAGAAAGAUAAAUGUAUUAUAUACCUUUCCACUCUUUAAUAGAAGAGAACCGUUUAGUUUAUUACUGAGUUUGAUAUGUUUUUUCUUUCCGGUUUGGUUUAGUUCAAUCCCCUAUACGUUAUUUGAGAAGUGAUUUUGCCACAUGUCAUAUCUACGAUCAAUUUCACAAAAAUAAUAUGACAUGAUUAUUAAAAUUGAUGACACGGCUUAUAUCUUAAUAUGACAUGGACAAUUACAUUUAAUGUUAAUUUAUAUUUUUAGUAAACUUUUUAAAAUAUGGUAAUAACUCAUAUAUUACAUUUAAUGUCGAUUUAUAUUUUUGGAAUUUAUUUUAGAAAAUAGUAAUAACUCAUAAAUCAUCACUAAAAUAAAUAUAUUCAAAUAUGGCAUUACAAAUUUCAAAAUAUCAUUUAAUUAUAUAUUUUUAAAUUAUACCAUUUUAUUACUAAAACCUUCAAAAAUAUAUACAAUUUUUUUAGAAAAUUAUAAAAUUUAAUCGUAAAAUCAUUAGUUUCUUAUAUAUCUACAAUUUUUAUAAAUAUUGUUUAAAUUUCAUUUUUGAUAACUAUGCAAUUUUUUACAAAUUUAUUUAAUAUAUUUAAUUAAAAUAAAUAGAUAGAAAAUAUAUCUAAGAUUAUAAUUUUAAAUAAAUCAUGCAUAUUAUUAAAUAUAAUUUAAAAUAAAAAAAUUAUUUUUAUCUUAAUUUUUAUGUUUACUUAAAUCAAAUUUAUAUUAAAAUAUUGAUAAGAAAACAAAAUUUACAAUAUUAAUAAAAUUUUAUUUUAAAAUAUAAUUAUAUUUAUCUGUUAGAAAAAUAUUUUAAAUUUUUUUACUGUACACAUGCAGGAAAACACCUAGUUCUAUAGAAAUCUGCAUAAAAAGACCUAUACUAUUUCGUUCGGUUUAUCUAAUUUUUAUAUUCUUGCAUUUGAAUUGUUUAUUUUAGCUUGGGUAUAUUUGAAUUUGAUGUAUAUAAUUUUGGUUUGGAUAUUGGCUUACUCCGGUUUGAGAGUCAGGCUUCACUAUAAAAUCAAACUUAUUCAAUUUUGGUUCAUCUCCGUUUGGGUUUUAAAUGAUCCGCACCCUGUGCGGGCAUAAAAAUAUUCAAAAUGUGGAAUAAAUAGUAUACAGUUGUUGAAGUUACAGAUUUUAUAUUAUCACUAAGUAGAAUUGUAUUGUAUAUAUGUUGUAACUGUGUAUUUUAGGUGACGAAUAUAUUUAUGUUUAUAUUUUUCGUUUUAAAAUAGUGACAUAUUUAAAGAAAAUAUAAUAAAAGUCGAAAUAUAAUCUAUAAGUAAUAUAAAUUAAGAAGUACAAUUCUCAAUAAAGAAAACAAACCUGCAAAAAAUUAUUAAAUUUUGUAAGCAGUUGUACGAAAUAAAAUAAUUUCAUAGAUAUAUAAUUUUAUAAAUUUUAGCUAGCAUAUAUUUUCAAGAUGCUAUAUAUUAUUUCUCAUGGAUCUAUGUUAUUAUAAAUAGAGCUUCAUAUGCAUACAUAUUCUGUAUAUUAAGUUUUGCCAAAGAGAUUGGAUUGCCAACUCUAUAUAUCUUCCAUUGUAUUUAAAAAUAAUGACAUAUUUAAAAAAAAUAUAAUAAAAGUCAGAAUAUAAUCCAUAAGUAAUAUAAAUUAAGAAAUACUAUUUUCGAUAAAGAAAGCAAAUUCCAUUAAAAACCUGCAAACAAUUAUUAAAUUGUGUAAGCAGUUAUACGAAAUAAAAUAAUUUCAUAGAUUUCUAAAUUUCUAAAUUUUAUUGAAUAGAAAAUAAUAUUAAAUUAACAUACCAUCAUCGAAAUAGUGUAAAAACUGGAUUGUAGUCAACUAAAAUGGAGAGUUUAGUUUAUAUACCAGAAUACUAUCAAUGAUCUCUCUUAUGGUUCUCUUCUCAUUAAGAACAAAAAACUUGGCACGACAGAUGUAGCAGUACCAACAGACCAUUGAGUACUAUAGUUGUUUGUAAGAGUGAGCACCUACAAUAUAUAGAUUUUAUUAACAUGUUGUACAUAUAAUUAUUUUAGAAAGAUAAAUGUAUUAUAUACCUUUCCACUCUUUAAUAGAAGAGAACCAACACAAAUAAUCAUUGUGGACAUGUUACUCAUACUAUAAUCGUAUACUUGUUUAGCAUAACGAUCCUACAGAGUACACAUCAUCUUCACAUUACUGUAUAAUAUAAACUUAAGUUAAUAAAUCUAAUAUACAUAUUUAGGUAGCAAAUAAGAAAUGGUAAAAGUACUUAAGCUUACUUUUGGUCACCUAACUCAAUCAAUAGCCUCAUGUUAUUUUUUCCUUUUAUCAUUUUGUUUUCAAGAGAACCGAAGUUAACUAUUUGACCAAUAACAUCUACAUUCCAAAAUAAAAAUAAUUAAAUUAACACAAAUAAUACAAAACCAAAAGAAUAUCUAAACAUUACAAAUUCAAUUAAGUAGGUAUAAUAUUAAAGUUAUUUAAUAAACAGAUUAAUAGCCUUAAAAUCAUAUAUAAAUUAUUAGUGCAUGAACAAUUCCCAGUUGAAAAUUACUUACCAACCAAACGGCUGUUAUCAGCUUUUCCACCAGGAAUUUCAGUGUAAUCAGCCAAAUACUUCUCGGGAACUUCACUUGGAAAAUCAUUUGGUUUUGCAACAAAAGUCGCGUGGAAGAACCCAAUUUUGUACGGAUGAGAGCUUGUCCGAUAAUCACCAAUAGCAUCGUACACUUUGAAUAACUGGACAACCUUCAAAUUUUUUGAUGAGCUGUAAGCAUGAAAUUUUGUCCCUGAUCGAAUAUAUGAAAGUUAUGAGUUAGACAAAUAAAUUAUAAGAGUUGACGGAAAGCAGAAUAAGUAGUUAUGAAACACUAUAAAAAAAAUAUUGUUCAUUGUAAAGUAAAAUAAAUAUAUGACGAUUCUGAGUUUUAAAAAAUGUAGUAAUAAAAACAAAUACCAUUUCGAUGGUGUUGCCGGAUUCUUGGUUAUAAUUUCUCCACAAGCGAAGAAUCUGUACUUCAAUACGCCAUGUAUCUUUAGACGGGUUUUUAAAAAUUGUUAGGAAAAGAGAAUAGUUGUAUUGUAAGAUGUUAGACAUUUGGGGUCUCAGUUAUAUAUAUAGUCCACCUUCCACGUUAGACAUUUAUUAGGGGAUAUUUAACAUAAUAAAUGAUGUUUUCGAAAUGAUUUUUAUCAAGAAAGAAAUUAAAAUUAUAUUGUCAUAAGAUGAAAUGCAAUAAACACAAUACCAACUUGCGCAAGUAAUACAUAUUCAAAAAGAGUAAAUUAUUAAAAGCGAGCUAACAAAUUAGAAUGCAUUAACUAUUUCCAACUUGCGCAAGUAAUAGGGGAAUUAAGAAAAAAGGUAAAGUUAUAAAUAAACGUAGACACAACCUUGAUGAUGACGUCUGAGGCUUCGAGGUGCUAGCAACAACAUCAGACGACAACUUUCCCUGUUAUAUAAGUUGUCGUUAUUAAUAAUCAAACCAAUAAAUUUCCCGACCACACAAAAACAAAAAAGAAGUAGAUUAUAUAACCUGAAUAUCAGUUCCGGAGACAAGAGUGGUCUGAUCAGUUCUCUUCAGGCUCUUAUCUGAUUGGUUAGGCAACGAGACUUUAGAGCCGAGUGUAUUCUUCAUGCGACUCAGUGCGGCCAAUCUGGGCGGCAACAAGAUCAAUCAUAAUUCAUAUAGAUCUAUAUGUAUACUGCUAAUUAAUUAAUUAAUAAGUAUCAAAAAUAAACGGACACCUCUUUCGUUGUAAGCCUCUUUCCCCGACCGAGAGAGGUCGGAAUAGAGAACGGCGAGGACGUGGUAACCCUAUGGGUGUACAACGCCCUGAUCCCAUGCUCCGAGUCUUUCCCAUGACUAACUCUGCCUCCUAAACAAACUGAGCAAGUUGGAAACCCUCUAUAUAUACAAAACAUUUUGGCCUAUUUCCAGGUAUCAAUACCAUUAAAAGGGGAUCAUUCCCAUUUUACGCCCUUAAUGAAAAUUGCAUUUUCUCAAAAAUACCAUUACUUUUACAAAUGAUUAAUAAAAUUCAUUAAUAGCAUUUAAGUCUUUUGGUUUUGUGCUUACAUAUACACAUAAAUGGAUCUAUAAAUAAUAAGUAUCAAAAAUAAACGGACACCUCUUUCGUUGUAAGCCUCUUUCUCCGACUGAGAGAGGUCGGAAUAGAGAACGGUAAGGUGGUCUCCUCAUGCGUGAAGAACGCCCUGGUCCCAUGCCCCGAGUCUUUCCCAUGACCAACUCUGCC